rnacentral:rRNA from 1 species
UGGGGAAUAUUGGACAAUGGGGGCAACCCUGAUCCAGCGAUGCCGCGUGUGCGAAGAAGGCCUGCGGGUUGUAAAGCACUUUAGGUGGGGAAGAAAGGCGGUCGUUGAAUAGGCGACUGAGUUGACGUUACCCACAGAAUAAGCACCGGCUAACUCUGUGCCAGCAGCCGCGGUAAUACAGAGGGUGCGAGCGUUAAUCGGAAUUACUGGGCGUAAAGGGCGCGUAGGCGGUUAUUUAAGUUAGAUGUGAAAUACCCGGGCUUAACCUGGGAGUGGCAUUUAAUACUGAGUAGCUAGAGUAGAGUAGAGGGAAGUGGAAUUUCCGGUGUAGCGGUGAAAUGCGUAGAUAUCGGAAAGAACACCAGUGGCGAAGGCGGCUUCCUGGACUCAUACUGACGCU